rnacentral:rRNA from 1 species
UACGGAGGAUGCAAGCGUUAUCCGGAUUCAUUGGGUUUAAAGGGUGCGUAGGCGGGACGGUAAGUCAGGGGUGAAAGCCAGCAGCUCAACUGUUGAAUUGCCUUUGAUACUGCCGUUCUUGAGUGUGGAUGAAGUGGGCGGAAUUUGGCAUGUAGCGGUGAAAUGCGUAGAUAUGCCAAAGAACACCGAUUGCGAAGGCAGCUCACUAAGCCAUUACUGACGCUGAGGCACGAAAGCGUGGGGAGCAAACAGG